UGCCCAGCAACUCCUAUCCCUACCUCCACGCGGUACCGGCCGGAAACUACCCAAGCAACCAAAAGUUCGGAUAAAAUAGC
rnacentral:ribozyme from 1 species